AGCGUGACGUACUAUGUAGGGUUGCCCCCCUUUACUUCGAACAAAGGACAAAGUACAGAAAAGUUUACUUAGUUGUAAACAAGGUUGACACUCGGACGUGUAUGGCGGAUGUUCUCGGGUUUUAACAAUUGAUUUGUUUAUUUUAUCGUGUAUUUGAAGGAUUAGAGUGAGUUUUUUUAAGAAAAAAGGCCUAACAUUUUUUUAUCGUAUAUCUGUGGAAAAUGCACGGUUGGGAACGAAUAACGCGCAUGUGCGGCUUAGGUUGCAAGGUGUUCUGGAGUCCAUGGGCACAGGGUGACAAACCAUACGACGCCGUGCACAAGGAUGAUGUCGAUGACGGUGAUGUUAAUGAACCGGUGAUGGCCGAACCCCAAAAGCCAAUGUGGUCGGAUAUGACGUUCUUGGCUCCUAUCGUGAAGAACAAGACCGGAAGUGUCGGUAACAUCAGAAUGAACGCGUCUUAUGACGAUAUUGCAACAGAAGACUUCUCAUCGAAGUCAAACGCAAAAAGAAACAGCGUUGCGAUUGUUGAGGACAGCAAGAACUCGUACGAGAAAAUAGAACCAAAAAGAAACAGCGCUUACGAAAAAAUAGUGCCAAAAAGAAACAGCGCUUUACUUAACGAAACUGUAACCUCACUGUCUAAACAUGGUGAAAAAAGAAACAGCAGCGUCGAUUUGAACACGAGCGCAAUGUCAACAAAAGCUCUUCUGAAAGAUUCGCAGCUAGGUGGAAGCACUAGGAGCUUGGCCGACGAAAAGUUGCACGUGAUGGAAUUGGUAACAACAGUUUAAGAAGCUUUCAUUGUGAAUACGUUGUGAUCGAAAUGCGGCCCGCCUCUUUAUAAAAUGUUUGCAUAAAAUUACCGUUUAUCUAUGUGCAAAUGCAUUGUACGUUUGGUGCUCAGUUAGCAUGUACACUAUUUCCGCCUGCAGAUACUAAAUAAGUAUUUGCAUCCAUGAUUUACCGUGGUUUGUGAACAAUAUGAUGGAGUGGAUCGCCGUUCUGGUUCACUGACGAACAAUAGAUGUAUAAAUGCAUUGUCAUUGUACAUAUAUUACAUGCUAAUAUUUCAAAGUAACCAGAUGUUUUCCUAUUAUUUACAAAAGCAGGGAUACAUGCUGUGUAUACUGAUUGAGGAAUAGCAUAGAACAAUCAUUGAGUCAUUAUACAUCUUUAACCCAUUCAUGCCUAGUGGACUCUCCCAUUGUUCUAAAUUGGAUCAAUUUAUUAUCAAAAUUAGGGAUGUCUGGUAUAUUUUUUCCUAUAUUUAGAAUAUUUCUUACAGAAAUUCUUUUAAGCAAACAGCGCAGACCCUGAUGAGACGCCGCAUCAUGCGGCGUCUCAUCUGGGUCUACGCUGUUUGUCAAGGAUUUUUUUCUAGACGCUAGGCAUAAAUGGGUUAAUCGUUUUGCAAUGUUUUUCUUAGUCAUUGUUUUUUUCAACAAUGUCAUUUUAAAAACAUACACUUACAGGAAUAAUUAUUUUGUUUUUAUCACUUUUAUUGUGCAAUACUGAACAAAUGGACCGUGCUCUGUGAAAAGGGGGUUUAAUGAAGACACAGGGACCAGGGACAACACUUUCCGCUUUUAUGGUAUUUAUCGUUUGCAGAAAGUCUCUUCUAAGCAAAUAUCCAGUUUAGGCGGAAAGUGUCAUCAAUAAUUAGCCUAUGUGGACUGCACAGGCUAAUCUCGGACGACACUUUACGCACAUGCAUUAAACCCCCCUUUUCAUAGAGCGCAACCCAAUAGUACCGAAGGUUCUGCUACUGCUAUUUUGCCAUUUUAAUUUGCCAUUGUUUUAUUUUUCUUCUGUUUUUGCCACUCACUGUUAUUUUUUACUUUUCUUUGAGUAGGGAUGACUAUACCAGCUUUAAAGUUGUCGUUAUAUGUAUUAUAUUUAAAUGAUCAAAUUAUGUUGCAAUAUUAAUAUACAAUUUUACCAACAAGAAAUAGAAACACUGUCACAUUUUCAAUACAUAACAAACGUUGGAAAUUCUUGUAGUUACAAAAAAAACUAUUGUUUAUAAUUAGCGUAUCAUUUUAUGUUUUAAUCAUUUUUAGCUUUAAUGAUUGAUACAACGAUAUAAUUUGAUUUAUUUCCAAAAUAUUUGUAUGAUAUGCUGUGAUGAAUACCAAUUCUUGUAUUUAAUCAGAUACAUUUCUUCUUAUCGUCCUUAUGCUAUAAAUGACAUAUUUUAUGUACCAAAAACGUUGCAGUUAUAAUCAUGAUCAUGUGUCUCUUGAAAAUAAAAUGUUUGUUAAA